GAUAUAAUAUGUUAUUUAAUUUUAAUUUAUAUUAGAGUAAUGAUAUAUUAUAACCAUUAAGUGACUUAAGGAGAAAAUUUGUUAAACCCUUGAUGUGACUCUCCUAUUGUGCCAAGUUGUGCUAAUAUAGAAAGUCACAUUGGCAGCAAGGCAUGAACCUAUUUCAAAAAUUCAACUUUAUUAUAUCUAUAUUAUAUAGAUAUAGAUGUAGACAUAGUUUUGAAGAUUUGAGACCUCAUUGAGAAUAUCCUAGAGAAAAUAACAGAUGCUCCCUUGGUUUAUUUUGUGACUGACUGCUAUAAUUUACUAAAAGUAUUUCUGAUAUUAUUGUGUCAGGAUCAUCUAUAUAUAGAAUUUAUUAUUUAUCUUUUCAGACCCAACACAUCUGGACAGAAGAUUUCCCUGAAAUGAUCUAGGAAUAAAGUGCAAUAAUCUAAUGCAAAAUUUUUCCUUCAUUAGAAAGCAGAAUAGGCAACCAUUUUUUUCGUUUUCUCUUGUCUCCACAAUCAGCUGAGUUACCUAAUCAAAUAAGAAAAUGGGCGUUAAGAAUACAAACUUAGGCAUGGAAAUUAACUCAUUACCUGGUCAAUCAUGGGCAUUAAACCAAUGGCACGAGAACGAAGGAAAGUACCAGGUAGCACAGGCUCCUAUUUUGGAGAAAAACCCAAGAACUAAAUGAAAUAGUACUGCUGAAAUUGAAAGAUAAGUUGUCCUCAUUUUAGUCCAACUUUUCAAGCCACUGAAGAUCUACCUGCAUCAGUACCAGGACAUCCAUAGGAUCACUGUCCUCACAGAUAGUUCGAGGGAUGAAGCCAUAGUUGUGUGGGUAAACAACAGACGAGUAGAGAACACGAUCAACCUACAUGAAAAUGAUAAUCAUUGUCUUGUUCUUCAUGUAACAAAACACAACAAAUUCACAUGCAUGUCAACGCCCCAGCAACAUGGUGAUCUCAGCAAAGAUCAUUCAGAACAAAGGAAAUCAUUAUUCAGAAGUAUCUGGGACUUAAGAACACGAGUCAAUUGCAUAUUAGUUAUGAUUUUGCAGUACAUUACAAGAAUCUGAAAUUCGUCAUGAAUAACAGGGAUUUAUACACUGCUUCAAGAGGUCAAGGUAAUUUGUUUAUCUAACAUAGCAUAUCAAAUGAUACAAAUUUAAAAAGAAGAACCCCAUGCACAACAUAACAAGUAAGGUUACCACUUUACGAAUGCAUCCUACUCAUUAUUAUGAACCAGAAGAUGUGUGCAUGUGUGUGUGUAUAACUUGUUAUCAAAAAGAAUGCAUUUGAGUAGUAACACAACCUAUCAGAAAGGACAGCAAAAUACAGAAGGAAUAAUGGAAAAGGAAGAAUAAAUUUGUACUUUUAUAAGACCACUUAUCUUGUCAAGCUCGUACUUAACCUUGCUACCUUUGCCAAUUUCAAUCACAGUGUUGAAAACAGCUGGAGCACCUGGUCCAAUCUCCAAGUCAUGCCAGGGAUGAGCAGCAACAGAUCUUCGAGACAUUGAAGAAAGAAUCCUUUCAUUGAGGACUACAUGAGGAAACCCAGAGUUUUUCCUGCUCGAUUCUCCAUCAUUGUCUGCCAUGUUGACUUUUCACUAUAAAGAGAAUCGCUGGGCGUGAAAUGAAGGCUCAGAAUCCUUCCAUAUGCUAAAGCAUCUAUCUAUAUCUAUGAAAAGAAGAGAGAGCCAUUGCCUGUCACUGUUGGAAGCUAAACAAAGGCGUUAUUGUUUCUAAUUGGGCCAUGUCUCAACGGCCGGUCUACUGUGAAUGCGGACCGUUGGAUGGAUAUUAGAUGGAGUCAGAUGAGUCAGACGGUUGUGGAUAUCAGUCACGGCUUGAUUUGCUCUCCAAAGUAGGAAUAUCUUUGCAGGAGAGGUUGUAGGAAAUAUGUAGUGCGAACGUGCUUACUAUACGCACAAAUUUUCAACCAAUUGUAUG
rnacentral:misc_RNA from 1 species